CGACCGGCGCACGGGUGAGUAACACGUAUCCAACCUGCCGAUGACUCGGGGAUAGCCUUUCGAAAGAAAGAUUAAUACCCGAUGGCAUAGUUCUUCCGCAUGGUAGAACUAUUAAAGAAUUUCGGUCAUCGAUGGGGAUGCGUUCCAUUAGGUUGUUGGCGGGGUAACGGCCCACCAAGGCGACGAUCAGUAGCCGGACUGAGAGGUUGACCGGCCACAUUGGGACUGAGAUACGGCCCAG
rnacentral:rRNA from 1 species